GAGCAGUGACUGGUCAGACCAGAGAAGACAGCGCGCUAGCGGAUCUAGUCUUCUAUCUAUAUCUUUGGUCGGCAGGUCUGGUAGCAUCUCUGGCUGCUGUUGACCUUGUUUUUGGAGUAAAACACGGUGGAAGCUGAAUUAGUGAGGAUGACUCCUGCUCCUGUCAUCUCUAAACUCCUCACACAUCUUUACCUGCACAUGAGGAAAAUCACUCCUGUAGAAUGCAGUGGUUCAUCAGAACCUCUGGGGAUGUCCUGUGGAUUCUGUGGAUCCUGUGGGUUGCAGGGUGGAUCCUACCUAGACCAGGCUGAUCCUGGACCAUCCCACAGAUGCUCAAUCAGAUCUGGAUGUGGGGAGUGUGGAACCCAGAUGUUCAGAGGGAGAUGAUGCCACAUCUGGUCCAGCUGAUGGAAGGUCUUGAAGUUCUCUGACUGGCCUCGACUGAAGAUGGUCGUCUCACUGGAUUUAAGGUUCAGAUGCUCAGUAACAAACUCCACCAGUGAACCAACAGGGAAGCUUUAGGUUUAUUAAAUGUUGCUAUGAAGGUUCCGCUGUUUUUCUUUGUGAAUGCAAUGUGCUCCAACUGAAACUUGAAUUAGAACUUAGAAGUAAAUCCUUCCAUCUGAAAGGAUUUAGUUGCAUUAAUAACCUCAUAACAUUCUAAUUUUUAUUCCAGUCUUGGUUGGAAAUAGAAUCUCUGUAUUGAUUCAGGUAAAAACUGAACUUCACAGCAUGUUGGAGCAAAACAACCAGAUGAAAACUGUGAUGGUGUUGGAUUGUCAGACCGUAAUGUUGCAGCUCAAAGCAGCUUUUCUAUCUCAGUUCAUUCUGACAUUCAGCUAUGAAUCAACACAGCAGAUGGUGAUCCAUGCUGUGGAAGUCUCACAUCUCCUGAUUUAAAACCUCCUGAGAACCAAGGGAAAAAAGUGUCUUACAAUUUCUCUUUUUGUGUGAUGUCCUAUCCAUUUGGGCCUAAAAAAAACACUUUACAAUUUUCAUUUUUUUAAAAAUAUUUUUUAUUUUAAUUUCACAGCAUGUCCAUUGUGGAGGACAGCAGGACGAUAUCUGCCUGAAAAAAUGUACUGUGAAAAGUACUGGAUUGGACUCCAGUAUUCACGAAUUUUAGGGUCAUCUUGAUAGCCAGGAAGCACAGGUAGCACAGGUGUGAAUCUAUUAUGAUGGAUGAUCAAGAAAAAACACAAAAAAAUUCAAGUUAAUAAAAAGAGUAACAGUGAAAUUUUUUCACAUAAAUUUCAAUUAAUGCAGUAAUUUCAGUGUCAUGGAUGUGAUAUGACUCCCUAUUGACUAGCUUUAGAAGCAAAUUUUUACGUAACUUGCAUAUUUUUAACAGCAUUUACAUAGUACAAAUACUACAAUAAUAUAACAUGAUCAUAAAAUGUAAUAAAUUAGCCUGAAACUAAAUAAAACAUACAAGCUAGUCCUGGCCCAUAGAUCACGACGACUUUGUUGCUCCCUCUCUGGCUCUGACUCUGUCUCAUCAGAUUCUCCUGCAUCUUCUUCUUCUCCUUCAUCAUCAUCUGUCACAGGCUGAUACUCAUCUUCUGCAUCCUUUUCCUCAUCUGAAAGCUCCAAAUCUGAAUAUCCCUCUACUAUCUGGUAUAGAAUCCUCUCUGCUUCACUUCUUUCUCCUACAACAAUAUGCAGUCAUUGGUUACAAUGGUCCUGGUGUCCACCACAGUUGACAUUCAUUAAAGGCCUGUUAUUUCAAAACAUAAAUAACGAAACUGUUUUCAGAUAUAAAAAUAUUGUUCUUAACAUGUUUAUGAACAAGAAUAUAUAUAGUUAUCAUGGUAAAAAUAGCAAUAGAUAAUGAAUAUUUGACUUACCUCUCCUCUUUCCAUAAAAUGUGGUUGCUCAUAUAGCAGCCAUCUUGAUACAGGAAAAAAAGUAAAGUUCCCAGCAUGCAAACCAUCACAUGAAACAUCACUGGAAAGCCCAGGAUGUCCCCUACAGAAUACAAUAGGGCUUGGAAGGGUAACUCCAAAUACUUAAGAAAUAUACAGGUGAACAAAAUGUCCAUUAUAAAGGACAUAAGUGAAUAGGCCAGGUCUCAGGAGGUUAAUGGAGCUGCUUUGCACUUUUUACACUGUUUAUUCACCAACACUUUAUUUAAUAAAAGUCCCAUCUAGUUUUUAUGAGGAAUGUGAUGUUUUAAUUUCUCUGUGAAUAACUGCAGUCUAAUGCAACAGCUGGAGUUGUAACAUCUGUCCUGAUAUUGAUCAUGAAGUAUUGAUCAGAAUACUUAUGGUUAGCAGUCAUCCUUGAAGUUUUACAUUAAAAUCUUUACUUGUGUUGUGAACUUUGGUAAGAAGCAGAAAUGUUAGCGUUGCCAUGGAUACAAGAGUGUUAAAUUCUGUCCAUGUUUCCAUUUUGGGAAAUGCAGUCCAGUUCCAGAAUGUGAGGAAUUUAGUCUCACAAUCACAGACAACAAAUAUUAUCUGAAAGUCGGGUUAUUGUUGUUUAUCAGCACAAUACAAAAAGAUUAAUGUUAGAAAUAUUCCAGUUAAGACUCUAGAAUAUCAUGAUUUAUGUAAAUUUACCUCAAUAAUAUGAAUGUUCAGGUUAAGAUUGUACAGUGAUAUUUAUUAUGUAAGUUUAGCUGAUUAAAGUUUAUGACUCUGCACUACAAUAUUAUUUAAAUUGACAUCAUUAUUAUUAUAUUUAAGGUCAGACCCUACAGUAUUGAGAUUAAAAAAUCUAAUAUUCUAUAAAAUGUAAAUACACUGAACUCAUCUGGAUAUAUUUAAGUGAGACUACAAUAUUAUUUGACACAAAUCUAUCUAAAUCAAAAUUUUAAUAAUUUUCACGCCAAACUUUUACUGGACUGAUUUAAACAUUAAAAUCACUCCUUUCUAAUCCUCUGCUAUACGGUCAAACCUGAGGCCUUAAAUAGAAACACACAAGGAUCUGAUUGAAGGAACUUCUGCAGAGUCCUGGUUCCAGAACAUGAUGAUAGAAUUAUAGACAAACUUUAACAAAAGCUGCCUGAGAGUUUACAGGUUUUUAUGUUAGAUUUCUUCAGUAAUUUAAUGAGAGUUAUCAGCAAAAAUCAAGUGUUCAUUUGAUGAACUUCAUUUCCUAAAACAUCCAGAAUUGGAGCUCAUAUCUUUGGCAGCUGUAAAGUUUCUGCUCCUUCAAAGUUCACAACACAAUGAAUGAAUUCCUAAAACACUCUCAAUGCUGGAGAGCGUUUGUGAUGCUGAAGCAGUGACCAGUUUUUCUGUUUCUUCUCUGGAGAUGCACAAUGAGGGACGUCUGCAGCGACUGAGAAAGAGUCUCACCACAUCCUGACAUGAGGAAAAAGACUUUAUUGAAGACUACAAUGAGAAAAACUAUCAGACAGCAGACGGCUGCAUUCAAGGUGAGCUCUGAACAUUUGAUCUGGAACAGGAAUUCAAUAACGGCAGCAUGAGCUUCAUUUCAGUCUGUAGCUGCUGAAUUCAUGGAUGAAUCAUCUGGCACUAGAGAGGAAGACCAUCAAACAUCCACGUCAGCUGAUGGAGGUCCAAGAGUCUCACCAAACAAACAACCUACAGAGUGAAGACCUCGAAUCUGAUUGGACGGCCUCCUAUUCAGCCACGUGUGAACA